AACGCACAUUGCGCCCCCUGGCAUUCCGGGGGGCAUGCCUGUCCGAGCGUCAUUUCUGCCCUCCAGCACGGCUGGGUGUUGGGCGCUGUCCCCCCGGGGACACGCCCCAAAAGCAGUGGCGGCGCCGCGUCGGGUCCUCGAGCGUAUGGGGCUUUGUCACCCGCUCGGGAGGGACUCGGUCGGCGCUGGUCUUCCUCCAGGCGACCCUUCGGGGUUCGCCUCUUCCGGUUGACCUCGGAUCAGGUAGGGCUACCCGCUGAACUUAA
rnacentral:misc_RNA from 1 species